GCUUCCAUAGCUCAGCAGGUAGAGCACUUCCAUGGUAAGGAAGGGGUCACCAGUUCAAGUCUGGUUGGAAGCU
rnacentral:tRNA from 1 species